rnacentral:lncRNA from 10 species
GCGGGGGUGCGGCCGCGGGGAAGGAAGUCGGCCGAGGGGUUGGGGACAAAAGGCCGGGCGGCGGGCUGGGGGUCUCAGGGAGGGGGCGGGCGUGUGCGGCCGGGGCCGGGCUACGCGGAGGACAAACAGCUGGCGAGUGUCAGGGUCUGGCCGCCUCCCCGCUGCCCACACGCACCUACCCGCGCCCGGGACGCGCAUUUUCCUUCUCUCGCCACGAGUUCACCUGGGACUUUGCAAAUAACUGUGCGGUGGGAGCUGCGCUCCAGCCUUGUCAUUUGCUGAGGGUGGGUGGCGGUGCCCAAGGAAGUGAACUUAUUUUGUUCCUUCACAAAGACUGGACCAGGCGGUGCCUUUCACGCGAAGAGGUUACGACCACGGACACAACCUCCUUUGAUGCAUUGUGCGAGGCAGCACCUCGGGCCCCGGACAGUAGUCAUUUCACAGAAAAUGCACCGCCCCGAGUGUCUUAUUGCUGUGAUGAAAUGGAAAUUUAAAUAAAAGGUCGAACACGUGCGUUCACUGGGAAGUAUUGACAUGGGUGUUACAUCACCAGCAGCCAAUCAGAUAACUCCAGUCGUGUUUAUACUUCUACAACCACCUUCAGUGCCAGAGCCUAAACUAUAAACAUGGAGAUAUUUGGAACUUUG